CUCCUCUCUACCUCUAGGCUUUGAGUGUCUCAGAUUAAAGUCCUUCCUCCCUCCUCACACUCCUGGUGCCAUUCAUGGGCCAUGUUAUUAAUUUGGCAGCCCUCGCUGGCAUGAACCAUAUACCUGAGGAUAUGAGUAAGAUCUGGCCUACAAAUCAUCAUAAACCACCUUGCCUGUCCCUGUCAAUGCAGGCCCUCGAUGCAGUGGGGAAGAGUCAGAAUAGUUGACAACUGCACAGUCACACAAAUUAGCAUAUAAAUAUACACAUAAGUGAAAAAAUAUAUCCCCCUCUUUUUUUCUAAACUAUGUAAGUAUUCCAUAAACAUGUGUUCAUAUGUGAUCGUUUACCCACAUAGGUGGAUUAUAGCACAAAUGGCUUAUCCAAUCAUUCUAAUAAUUUCCAAAUCAUCGAAAAACAUCAGAGAAUGUUGGCGUGACUUCUGUUUGACACAGGUUCCUAGGAGAUGCCCCAGCCUGAGCCACGACUUGAAAUGGGGACUCCACAGGGUUUCCAACAACGUCCUUACUAAUCACAUAUCAUCAGAUGACUUUCAUCUCCACGGAGAGGUUCUUUCAACGUCACAGACAUUGUUCAUGGUACAGAAGCUGGUGUCAGCAUUUGCUACACUGGCCUCAAUUGCAGGAAGGUUUCCCUGAAAUCUUCUAAAUGAUUUUGCUCAAGCACCAAUAAUAAUGACUGACAGACAUAGAGCUACAUGUACUCCUUCUGGACCCAGGAAGUCAUGAAACCAUUCAACAAUCUUCCAAGUCCUGUGUUUUACCCUUCAAACAUGUUAUUACAAUAUUAUUAAGUGAAAGAGAUGAAACAUGACCAGUAAUAGCUAAAAUGUUGCUGCCUUGGUUUGUAAGUUUUCCCAAAAGUUGUUUUCACGUUUCAGGAGUUGCAUGUUUCCACUCAGCAGCAUCACUAUCCAGAUCACGAUGAUCCACCUCCAUCAGCAUUAUUCUUUUAAGUUCUAGUGAGUGGUCUCAUGUCUGAAGUGCCUGGUUACUUUUAGCCACAGAGGUGGCUUCUUCUUCUUUUUUUUUUUUAAGAUUAUUUAUUUAUUUAUUCAUGAGAGACACAGAGAGGCAGAGACACAGGCAGAGGGAGAAGCAGGCUCCAUGCAGGGAGACCAAUGCGGGACUCGAUCCCAGGACUCCAGGAUCACGCCCUGGGCCCAAGGCAGGCUCCAAACCGCUAAGCCACCCAGACGUCCCCAGAGGUGGCUUUCUAAACGUUUUUCAUUUGCUUUAUCGGUAUCCUUUCAUAAAAAUUUUCCUAAGUUUUUAUUAGUUUAAAUGUUUUCUACAUGAAACUGAAUUAUGAUAUUCUUUUAAAUGUUUCCUCUGUAAUUAUUGCAAGUGUUCUUUAUGUAAACCACGAGCCUUUGGCAGAACAUGAUUAUCCUUGUGCUAAAAUACGCAGACAAUUAGCAUUUUCAGUUUUUAACAUUACAAAUGUUGGCACAAUUUGCACCUGCAUUUAUACCAAUACCAAUAAGCCACUCCUAUUUUGCCGAAAUAAUCAAAUUGUUUUUAAUUCCGGAAUACAGCUCUUCCGACACAUUCUUGCAUAACAUCAAAUCCUGUUCCAGGCUGCUCUGGUAUUUAACAGGAUCAGGAGACUCCAAGCCACAGAUGUUAUUACUUCUCUUGGAAGAUGGGUGCCCGUGAGAUUUAAAGGGACCAUUAACCCACUUAUCCAGAGUGGUGUUUGCUCAUAAUAUCUUAUUAUAAAUCCUGCAGUUGGGAUCCCUGGGUGGCGCAGCGGUUUGGCGUCUGCCUUUGGCCCAGGGCACGAUCCUGGAGACCCGGGAUCGAAUCCCACGUCAGGCUCCCGGUGCAUGGAGCCUGCUUCUCCCUCUGCCUCUCUCUCUCUGUGUGACUAUCAUAAAUAAAUAAUAAAAAAAAAAUCCUGCA
rnacentral:lncRNA from 12 species